UACAGAGGUCUCAAGCGUUGUUCGGAUUCAUUGGGCGUAAAGGGUGCGUAGGCGGCGCGGUAAGUCGGGUGUGAAAUCUCGGAGCUUAACUCCGAAACUGCAUUCGAUACUGCCGUGCUCGAGGACUGGAGAGGAGACUGGAAUUUACGGUGUAGCGGUGAAAUGCGUAGAUAUCACUCGGAAGGCCAGCGGCGAAGGCAGGUCACUGGUGCGCAACUGACGCUGAGGCACGAAGGCCAGGGGAGCAAACGGG
rnacentral:rRNA from 1 species